rnacentral:lncRNA from 1 species
UCGCAAUCUUUUUCGUUCUUUGUUUUUUUUAGAAUAGAUUAUUCCACCUUUCAAUAAACUUCAACUCAUUUCUUACUCUCUUAAUCAAUCUCUUAUGAUCUUAUUCUUUUACUCUUUUGUUUACCCAUUACAGAUAAUGUUACCACAUAAUUUAUCUGAAGGUAGAACAACUGGUCCUUAAUAUUGUAUCUUCGAUGUAUCUCCAAUAUUUUAUUCUAGAUACUUCUAUUUCAGCUUUCUUAUUCAUUCCAUCUUCCUACUUCCCCCUCAUCUCUCUCUUUCUCUCUAACCUUGCUUUUUCAUCUCUCUUCUCAUUUCUUCAUUCCUAAUUUAUUACUAUUCAUUUGCAAUUUUCUUCAUAAUCGCGUAGGCACUUUGCGCUAUUUUUCUUUUACAGGAUCCGACUAAGCGACAGGAUCACCAUCUUCAAGCGAUUGAUACUCCAUGGCAGCUCCCGCCACCUGGUCCAGGUUCAUCCUCUCUCAUGUCCUGCGCGUUAGAGGGGGUUUUCACAUCUCGAUACCCCCGCGGCAGCAGCGAGAAAGCCGCCGGCGCGACCGGCGCGCGUUAUUGAUUUGACAGGAAUGACGGGAGGCGGAAUGGCGCAGGAAUCGAUAAGAGAAGGUGGUGGUCCAAGCUGCUGGUGAUGGGCUGCGCGGGGGUGCGCAAGAAAGAGAGGCUGCUUGUACAACGAGGGUGCUAGAGCGAGCGAGCGAGCGAGCGGCGAACUGUGUAGGGUUGGUAGCGAGCAGGUAGAGGGAGUGAUGAGGAGAAGAACGAGGGCUGGCGGGAGCGGUAGCGAGGAGGAGGAUCAGAAGAGAGAGGGAGCGGAGAAUAUUUUCAUACUCCAGACUCCCGGCGUAGGUAGAAGAUGGCAGCCGAGGCGUGAUUCGGUCCGGGCAGUUUCCUCUUUUCUGGCCGCGCGCGCGCGAGAGUAGUAGGGCCGCAAUCCGCUCCGGGUUUGAGAAGAAGUCGGAAAGUAGUGUGCUCUCCCUUCGUGGUCGAUCUCAGCUCCUCGUUGUCGGUCGACGGUGCACGAAAACUCCAAAAAAAGCCGCCGAGAGAUGAUUUAAAGAGAGAUAGAGAACAAGCAGAAAGAGAGAGAGAGAGAGAGAGAGAGAGAGAAAGAGAGAGAGAGAGGGAGGGAGAAAGAGAAAGAGAGAGAAAGAGAGAGACUGAUUGACUGACUGAUACUAAAGGAAAGAUAAAAAAGAGGAAAAGAUAGAACGAGAAGGAAGAGAAAGAUCCGCUCCAUUUCGCUCAUCUGCAUUUCGUUCGCGCGACGUAUCCAAUUCGCUGUUUUUCUGUCGUUUUUUUUCGUCGCUGCACAUACAGCUACCCGCUACGAGCGCGCUAUUCGUAUAUCUCAAAGAUUGGUAUACGUUCGAUAGCGUAUUAUCGAAGAGAAUCAACUCGUGAUCCGCUCCGAUCCGCUCCGCUACGCUCCGUUCCGCUCGACUCCGCGUGCCGCGUCUAAUGAUCAAGGAGGUGGUAGACAUCAGUGAUUAUGCGCGUAGUAAUGAAUAAUCUUGUAAAGCCCGUCGGAAUCACAGUAGCCGCCAUCGUCGCAGUGUUUCAUGAGCGUCAUGUAAUAUGGAAUUAAACAAUGUUGUUAAGACGUAAACAUGUUCUGGCUACACUGUGGACUCUUUGUUCUCGUGAUUGCCGUACGUGGAUUUAUUAGCAGCUUAGCCGAUACCACAUCCAAGCGAGAUUGGUAGCUGAGCGUAUUGAUGGCUGGAGCUUAAUCGGACCGAGUGUAAUCGAUUCAAUAUUUUAGAGGGUACAGAGGGAUGACUAAGUGGACGCUAAGGUCCUCUACACGAAUGGCUGCGUGAAUGAAUGGGUGUAAAGCGCUGAUCGUUACGGAGGUAUUGCACCUGCUUGCGCACCUUGCUUGCCACCCUGUCCGCUUAAUAAUCCUAAGGAGGUAAGAUUCAAGGAAGGAGAAGUGGACUUAAGAGUUUAAAGAUCUGAUGAAGAUCUAAAGCUUCUUAAUUGUAGUUUUAUGUGAAUAACUGUAAUAUAGUUUGCUUUAUAUAAAAGGAGUCUCUUAGCUAGCAAAUAAUUUAACGCAAACUCUUUCUAUCUUAUCGAGUAAUCAUGUCUGUUUAGUGAACUGAAAUAAUUUCAUUGAAAUAAUUUCUAAUGUGGAGGAAUAAUGGUUUCGUUCAUAAUUAGAGCGCGAA